UGAGUUCGCGGGAGAGUAGGUUAUUGCCAGGGUUUUUAUUUUGUAAUUUAAACCUUAAAUUUAUUUUUUAUAUUUUUUUAAUGUUUAUGUUUUUGAAUGUUUUAUUCAAAUAAUGUAAAAAAUAAAAUAGAUAUUGACAUGGAUUGAACAAAAGAUAUAUAUUAUUUUAUGUUGCAUAAACAAAUUGGCAAAAUAGAGAUGGAAGAUAAAAAUAUGGUCAAAGUAAUAAGAGUCUAUGGUGAAUGCCUAGGAGCUUUAAGGCGAAGAAGGUCGUGGUAAGCUGCGAAAAGCUUGGGGGAGAAGCAAACAUUUAUUGAUCCCAAGAUUACCGAAUGGAGUAAUCCAACA
rnacentral:misc_RNA from 1 species